rnacentral:rRNA from 1 species
AUUGAACGCUGGCGGUAUGCUUAACACAUGCAAGUCGAACGAUGAGAAAGAGCUUGCUCUUUCGAUUAGUGGCGGACGGGUGCGUAACGCGUAGGAAUCUACCUAUUGGUGGGGGACAACUUAGGGAAACUUAAGCUAAUACCGCAUACGCCCUACGGGGGAAAGAAGGGGAUCGCAAGACCUUUUGCUAAUAGAUGAGCCUGCGUAGGAUUAGCUAGUUGGUGGGGUAAAAGCUCACCAAGGCGACGAUCCUUAACUGGUUUGAGAGAAUGAUCGGUCACACUGGAACUGGGACACGGUCCAGACUCCUACGGGAGGCAGCAGUGGGGAAUAUUGGACAAUGGGCGAAAGCCUGAUCCAGCAAUACCGCGUGUGUGAAGAAGGCCUUAGGGUUGUAAAGCACUUUCAAUUGGAAGGAAAACCUCGAAGCUAAUACCUUCGAGUUUGACAUUACCUUUAGAAGAAGCACCGGCUAACUCCGUGCCAGCAGCCGCCGUAA